rnacentral:rRNA from 1 species
AUACGGAGGGAGCGAGCGUUAAUCGGAAUUACUGGGCGUAAAGCGCGCGUAGGCGGCUUUGUAAGUCGGAUGUGAAAGCCCUGGGCUCAACCUGGGAAUGGCAUUCGAUACUGCAUAACUAGAGUAUGGUAGAGGGAAGUGGAGUUUCCGGUGUAGCGGUGAAAUGCGUAGAUAUCGGAAGGAACACCAGUGGCGAAGGCGACUUCCUGGGCCAAUACUGACGCUGAGGUGCGAAAGCGUGGGGAGCAAACAGGAUUAGAUACCCGGGUAGUCC